rnacentral:snRNA from 1 species
AGCUUUGCGCAGUGGCAGUAUCGUAGCCAAUGAGGUUUAUCCGAGGCGCGAUGAUUGCUAAUUGUUCAUAUUGACCUUCUUUCUGUGGGAGUAUCUUUGUUUCAAAGCUAAUUUU